rnacentral:rRNA from 1 species
UACGUAGGGGGCAAGCGUUGUCCGGAUGUAUUGGGCGUAAAGAGCGUGUAGGCGGCCAGGUAGGUCUGCUGUGAAAACUCGAGGCUUAACCUCGAGCUGUCGGCGGAAGCCAUCUGGCUAGAGUCCGGAAGAGGAGAAUGGAAUUCCCGGUGUAGCGGUGAAAUGCGCAGAUAUCGGGAAGAACACCCGUGGCGAAGGCGGUUCUCUGGGACGGUACUGACGCUGAGACGCGAAAGCGUGGGGAGCGAACAGG